UCCCUGCCCAUGGCAGGGGGUUGGAACUGGAUAAUCUUAUGGUCUUUUCCAACAGGUCUCAACAUCAUUGUUUCUAUUCAUCACUUCUAUUCCUGUGAAGCUGUGGCUGCCCCAUCCCUGGCAGUGUUCAACCUGCUCUAGUGGAAGGUGUCCCUGCCCGUGGCAGGGGGUUGGACCUGGAUGAGCUUUAAAGUCCCUUCCAACCCUGGAGCAGGAGGAAGAGGAAUGGCAGCAAAGCGACCGUGUGUGUCUAUCUGGCUUUUACGCAUGGAUGAGGAGCUCUGAGACCUUCCUGCAUCGUUUCAGACCUCUCCUGGACUUCAUUUAUCACACUUUAGUCCUGCUCUUUGUGGCUCUACAUAGAUAGAUUUAAGCCCAGAAAGGAACUUUGUAAUGGUGGCAUUAUACAAUUGUGCCUCUUGUCACAAGUGGCCAAGACUCAAAUGUACUCAAACCUCCUCCAAUGUGAGUGUGUGCACUAGGAAAGAAGUCUUCAGGAGAGGAGUUGAGGAUGGAGCACGCAGCAAAGAGGUUGGCAUCUACCACCACAAGCAGCAUUUCAUGGUUUUCAAAAGGAACCCAAGCCCCUGCGUGUCCCAAGCAUGGUCCUGCUUGACUGGCUCCGGUAAAUGCCCUUGGCACACACUCAGAAGGUCUGAAUGCUGCCGUUGUCACAGUGCGAGGGGGGAAGGCAGCGGGAAAGAGACAGCAGGGCAAUGAAGAAGCUGUGCUGCUGGUGGCACAGGGGACAACAUAGGAACAUGCAGCAGUAACGGGGCACAGGGCUGCUUCCUCCCACCACAAGUGACAUUUAGCUCCAUCCCAUCCUAACAUGGAGCCUGGCAAAAUGCCUCUGGUACCUUCCAAGUGUACGAAGGGUUUCAGAGCUCCAAAGGAUUCCAGAGCUCUGCAGCCCGAGGCUGAGCUGGGCUUGAGGUGACAAGCUGGAGGCCAAGCUCCUUUCUGGCUUCACCUUUCUCCUGGCACCGGCAACAUCCAGAAAUCAGGAAAGGGAUUUGGGAUGCUGCUUCCCCACGCAAAGCUGACCAGCUCCGCUAUCACCGUAUCAGCAAGACCCCAGUAACGGGAAACCCCCUGUGUGAGCAGUCAGAGCCAAGUCGAUUCUACGAAGCUAUUCUGUGAUCACAGAGCCCUUCCCAGGAUGCUGCUUUAGGAAAGCGGAUGGAGCAGCAUGUGAGCUACAGUGCUCAGGGAGUGCAGGUAACACCCAGACCACACUGCUGCAGGUAUUCCAGGCAUGGAGAAGGGAAUGGAAGUGCUGGGAUGAGAACAGCAUCAACCCCCAGAGCUCUAAUUUUCCUAGCAAUCCCUGCUCCUCACCUCUGCUUCCAGCCCUGAGCCCCGCUGUGUCCUGGGCAGCAACACACCAGAGGGAUGUGGAGGCCGGAGGAGGCCACGGAGCUGC